GUACCUAUAGCUCAGCUGGAUAGAGCAUCAGACUCCGACUCUGAAGGCCGACAGUUCAAAUCUGUCUAGGUACACCA
rnacentral:tRNA from 1 species